GGUAAGAAGAAUAGAAUCGAGACUACUGUCAAAUGUCAAUCACCAGGAAAGAAGCAACUAAAGCCCUGCGUGUACAAGGGCCGACCUCAGGAGGCAGGGGCACAGCCAACAUCUAAGAGUGAGGCCUCUUGACCAGUGGGCAGUAUCUCCACGUCUCACACAAUAACCCCAGCAACCUGUCAGCAACCCUGAAUGGAAGGACAAGAAGAUGGGAUAGAAUGUCAGUAGAGAAGAAUGCCAUUUUAUCAUUCUGUUUCUGUCUGAAAUAAAGUUUGAUCUUAAUGUUCA